GUGUGUGUGUGUGUGUGUUUUGCCUCUUUUGUAUAUUUUCUAAGAGCCCAGAUUCUCCUGUCCACCUUGAGCAGUUUUUAAAAUCUGUAACUUGGCUCAUUCGACACCUUUUGUAGGAAUAUGUAUAUAUAAUGCUUCCAAGCACCGUUUCAGGAAACAAAUUGAAAUACUAGUUUGACAUGAGGAAAGAAUCAGAAGAGGUAACAUACAGUGUGAAGUUGUUUUUUAUUUUAAGCACUCCAGUCUGCUUAUCCAGAAUGUUAACAGCUAAUGCUUCUUGCCACAUACUUGUCCGGUGUUCUGUCCACACACCUAAUUUAACCAUCUCCAUCUGCCUAUGAAUUGAGCAUAAUUCUUAGUCGCUUU